ACUUAAGUAUUAUAAUUUAUUAUUUUUGACUUCCAAUUAAAAAAUCUAGAAAUACUCUAGCUUAAGUA
rnacentral:tRNA from 1 species